UCUGGUUGCUGAAGUCACACCUUGGAUUCCUGCCUGCCCUGAGAACUCUGACAGGACUUUGGCAAAGCUGCAGAGGCUUCGUGGCCACGCUUGAUACAGACUUUACAGACCCAGCCGUCAGAGGAGGAGUGGGACACGACAUAAUCCCAGAGUCAUGCAGGCCACAUGACCAUGGAAAUUGUCUUCAGACAACGAGCAAUCGUGAACACGACUGACAGGAAAACCUUUACCUUUUAAUACUUCCAGGCUUUGUGGUUGGUAAACUUCACUUCUCCUCCUCCUGCAAAAUGCCUGAGCUUGAAAUCUUGGGCUUGGACAAUCUGGAACUGCGCCACCUGUGGUCUGAUCUAAGAAUAGUACACAAAAUUGUCUGCUACAACAUCUUACCUGUCAACGGCUUCUUCAGCUUCAACCUCAAUAAUACACGGGCAAAUAAUCGAUGCAAACUCAAGGUAAACCACUCCAAACUCGAUUGCAGAAAAUACGACUUCAGCAACAGAUAGAAUGGUCAAUGCCCACAAUGCUGUAUCCGACUCCAUUGUUACAUCCUCAAACCCUCACAGCUUCAGUCUUAAACUGCCUACCGUGGACCUCACCCCAUUCCUAAGAGGUCUGUAAAAGGGGGCGUGCAUAAGUGCACCAGUGUGCCUACCGUCCCUGUCCUACUGUCCCCAAUUAUUACAUGUUUGACAAACAAACAAAUAAAUAAAUAAAUAAAGCCAAUUCAGUAAAAUUUUACAAGAAGAGUUCUCCACUCCUCUGAAUACAACAAAAUACCUUAUGCCACCAGACUUGAAAUCCUGGGUUUAGAAAAUUUAGAACUACGCCGUCUUCGACAUGUCCUGAGUUUAACUCAUAGAAUCAUCUGUUACAAUGUCCUUCCUGUCGAAGACUACUUCAGCUUCAAUUGCAACAAUAGAUUUAAGCACACAAUAGAUUUAUGCUUAAUGUUAACCGCUCCAAUCUUGAUUGCAGAAAAUAUGACUUCAGUAACAGAGUUGUUAAUGCUUGGAAUACACUACCUGACUCUGUGGUCUCUUCCCAAAAUCCCAAAAGCUUCAACCAAAAACUGUCUACUAUUGACCUCACCCCAUUCCUAAGAGGUCUGUAAGGGGCGUGCAUAAGAGCACAAGCAUGC